rnacentral:ncRNA from 1 species
AUCAGGUCGCCCCGUGCGGCCAGGCCGGCGCGCCGAGUUUGGUUUGCGAAUCCGGUCCGACGCCCGUCGAUAACCUGGCGUCACG